rnacentral:rRNA from 1 species
GUAGGGAAUCUUCCGCAAUGGACGAAAGUCUGACGGAGCAACGCCGCGUGAACGAUGAAGGCCUUCGGGUCGUAAAGUUCUGUUGUUAGGGAAGAACAAGUGCUAGUUGAAUAAGCUGGCACCUUGACGGUACCUAACCAGAAAGCCACGGCUAACUACGUGCCAGCAGCCGCGGUAAUACGUAGGUGGCAAGCGUUGUCCGGAAUUAUUGGGCGUAAAGCGCGCGCAGGCGGUUUCUUAAGUCUGAUGUGAAAGCCCCCGGCUCAACCGGGGAGGGUCAUUGGAAACUGGGAAACUUGAGUGCAGAAGAGGAAAGUGGAAUUCCAAGUGUAGCGGUGAAAUGCGUAGAGAUUUGGAGGAACACCAGUGGCGAAGGCGACUUUCUGGUCUGUAACUGACGCUGAGGCGCGAAAGCGUGGGGAGCAAACAGGAUUAGAAACCCCAGUAGUCC